UGCUAGGCCGUAAACUUGAAUUACACCUCCAAACGCCCGGGAAUUACGAGCCAUGCUUAAAACCCAAAGGACUUGACGGUACCCCAUCCACCUAGAGGAGCCUGUUCUAUAAUCGAUAGUCCCCGUUUUACCUCACCUUCACUAGAUUUUUCAGCCUGUAUACCUCCGUCGCAAGCUUACUGUAUGAACACAAAAUAGUGGGCCCAAUUGGCCGAACCCAAACACGUCAGGUCAAGGUGCAGCCUAUAUGAAGGAAGCAAUGGGCUACAAUUUCUAACAUAGAACAAACUAACAGUCACAUGAAACUGUGACUCAAAGGCGGAUUUAGCAGUAAGAGCGGAACAGAGAGCCCCUCUUAACAUGGACCUGGGUUAUGU
rnacentral:rRNA from 1 species